rnacentral:tRNA from 1 species
GGAGUUGUGCCUGAAGUAAAGGGCCACUUUGAUAGAGUGAAACAUGGAGGUUAAAAUCCUCCCAGCUCCU